rnacentral:lncRNA from 1 species
GCCAACACUCACCGAGCACUCAACCACGACCCUUAAGAAGCCCUCAAUGCUCACUACAGCCUCCAGGGAAGCAGGUCCCAUUAGCACUCCCACUUUUUUGGAUGUAGAAACUGAAGCACAGAGAACUUCAGCAAGUUGUCCAAGCCACACAGCGACUAUGCAGUGAAUUCAGGAUUCAAACUGAGGAACCCCACUCCAGAGCCAACAGACACGGACUGAGGACUUCAUGUAUUCCAGAUUCUCCCCACAGCAACUGGAAGAAGUAGCUGACGUUGCUCUCCCCAUUUUACAGAUGUGAGAAUGGAAGAAGUUAAGAUGGAUCCAAGCCAGUUGAUGAGGAAACUGAGGCUCAGAGAGGGGAAGUAACUUACCCAAGACUGCACAGCAGUAAGCGGCAGAACCUGGACCCAGCCCCUGGCUCCAGACCCCCACUGCUCUGCUGACCUGCAGGGGCCUCGAAUCAACAUAAAGCCUUUCACCCCUAGCCUGCUCCUGUCUCAACCUCAACCUCCAGAGAACAUCCAUCCUCCAUGGAGCCUCCCAGCCUGAGCCCUCUGAGCUGCCUCCCUUCUUCUCUCCCCUCAGCCCAGGCUUCCCUAUCACCCCACAGAGAGCCUCGGAGCCACCCUUGGGAGCUUCACAGCUGCCUGGCUUUGGGAUCUUUGCUCUGAGAGACCCCAAGAUGGAGCAGCAGCCCCUAUGCUGUGGCCCACCGGGCAGGCUUGGUUUUAUGCCAUCUUCCCAGCUACCCCUUGGGGUACGGGUUUUAUCACCCCCUUAUACAGAAGGGGUCAGGGAUCAAAGCAGGCAAGCCAUUUGCCCAGAACCACACAGCUGUUGCCAGAGUUGGGAUCCAAAUGCAGGACUGUCCUUGGCCAUACCGCCUUCUGGAUGUCCCUACAGUGGCUCUGCCCAGUCAAGAGCCCCUGUUGCCCGGGGAGACCCCUCUUCACAUCCUCAUGACAAUGACAAUCCCACGAGUUAAACAUUUCACAUGGAUUCUUGCCUUUAGUUUUUCCCAACAACCUGCAGGGGAGGGGCAAUCAUCACACCCAUUUUACAGACGAAGAAACUGAGGCACCCAGUGGUUGCUUAGCUGGGGGCCCAGCAGAGCCUGUGCCUUGGUUUGCUAACCUGUAGAAUGGGGUCAUAACACAGCCUUGCAGGGUGCUUGAGGACUGUGCAAGGCUGUGGAAGCCAGGGGCUCUCGGAAACACCCCUGAGGGCUGUCCUCAGACAAGGCCGGAGGCCCGAUUGUGUUUUUCUCGACUCGCCAGCAUCCAGUCAGGGCCUGGCCUGCUGAAGGAAGGGCCCCAUGUCUCCUUGAACAUUUCCUCAGCCCGGGGAUGCCGAGAAAACGAUGAGUCAUCCACCCAAGCAGAGGCCUCCCAGGAGCUUGUGUCGGGUCCCAGCCGGGAGGGGAGGGCUCCAAGCUGGAGAGGGGGCCCGGGUAACACGAUGACUCCCGCGCUGGCCCCGAGGCCUAAGUCACGGGGUCCCCUCCACGGCCUCCCACCGCCACAGGCUGCCAGCCUACCGGACACCCUUGGAUGCUGUGCCCCAGAUCCUGCCCCUGCGCCUUCACCCCAGAUCUGCACCCCGGUUUCCUAAACCACUCUUCCCACCCACGAAUCCCAGGGUUGCCUGCGACCCUCUAGCCUCCCUCACCCCACUCCCACCUCACCUAGCCCCAGCCACUCAACCGCUGGUCCGUCGAGGAAACCCGUCACGCCUUUCUCCCCUCACCUCACUAUGCCUCUGCCUGGUUUUCCUUCUCCAUCGCCCUCUUGCCUCUCACCACAGAAUCUGAGCGUUCCUUCUAAAACCCCAACGUGACCUUAGCUCCCUCCACGUGAGAACCCUCCUGUGAGCUCCCUGCUGUGCCUGAUGCGAUGGGCUCUUCAGAUCUCUCUCCUCCAUCUGGCCCCAACCAAUCUUGCCAGCUCACCCCUUCAGGACCCCACUGUGGUUCUCAAGCUGACUUGGCCAUUUACUCAUCUCCACUCCAUCUAGAAUGUUCUUCCAAACAUGCUUCUCUAAGAAAAUUGGCCCUGGGAUCCGUCGUACAACGCCCACGCUGACCCCGCC